AGAGUUGAUCAGUGGCUCAGGACGAACGCUGGCGGCGUGCCUAACACAUGCAAGUCGAACGGAGCUGAGAAGCUUGCUUUCAGCUUAGUGGCGGACGGGUGAGUAACGCGUGAGUAACCUGCCUCCGAGAGUGGAAUAACGUUUUGAAAAGAACGCUAAUACCGCAUAACGUAUCAGUAUCGCAUGGUAUAGAUACCAAAGAUUUUAUCGCUCGGAGAUGGACUCGCGUCCGAUUAGUUAGUUGGUGAGGUAACGGCUCACCAAGACCGCGAUCGGUAGCCGGACUGAGAGGUUGAUCGGCCACAUUGGGACUGAGACACGGCCCAGACUCCUACGGGAGGCAGCAGUGGGGGAUAUUGCGCAAUGGGGGCAACCCUGACGCAGCAACGCCGCGUGAAGGAUGAAGGUUUUCGGAUUGCAAACUUCUUUUAUCAGGGACGAAAAACGACGGUACCUGAUGAAUAAGCUCCGGCUAACUACGUGCCAGCAGCGGC
rnacentral:rRNA from 1 species